rnacentral:rRNA from 1 species
GUAGGAUCCGAGCGUUAUCCGAAUUUACUGGGCGUAAGGCGCGUGUAGGCGGUUCGGUAAGUUGGACGUGAAAGCUCCUGGCUCAACUAGGAGAGGUCGUUCAAAACUGCUGGGCUAGAGGACGGUAGAGGGAGGUGGAAUUCCCGGUGUAGUGGUGAAAUGCGUAGAUAUCGGGAGGAACACCAGUGGCGAAGGCGGCCUCCUGGGCCGUUCCUGACGCUCAGACGCGAAAGCUAGGGGAGCAAACGGGAUUAGAUACCCCGGGUAGUCCUAGCUGUAAACGAUGUGAACUAGGCGUUGGUGGGGUAAAAUCCCAUCAGUGCCGUAGCUAACGCGAUAAGUUCACCGCCUGGGGACUACGGUCGCAAGGCUA